UACGUAGGGUGCAAGCGUUGUCCGGAAUUAUUGGGCGUAAAGAGCUCGUAGGCGGUUUGUCGCGUCGGCUGUGAAAACCUGGGGCUCAACCCCGGGCCUGCAGCCGAUACGGGCAAACUAGAAUUCGGUAGGGGAGACUGGAAUUCCUGGUGUAGCGGUGAAAUGCGCAGAUAUCAGGAGGAACACCGGUGGCGAAGGCGGGGUCCUGCUAGGGCAGUACUGACGGCUGAGGAAGCGAAAGGCAGUGGGGAGCAAACAACGGG
rnacentral:rRNA from 1 species